GGUGGACUCACGACCUUCAUCUAUCCUUUCUCAAUGCUCUUCAAAUCCUUCAUCACCAACAAAUUAAAGCAACUCCUAAAUUACUUCUUCAAUCCAUGAAUGUAAAAGGACUUACCAUUUCUCAUAUUAAAAGUCACCUCCAGAUGUAUCGCAACAAGAAG